rnacentral:tRNA from 1 species
GCCCGGGUGGUGGAAUUGGUAGACACGUUGGACUUAAAAUCCAAUGAACAUUUGUUCGUACGGGUUCAAGUCCCGUCCCGGGUA